UACGUAGGGUCCGAGCGUUGUCCGGAGUGACUGGGCGUAAAGCGCGCGCAGGCGGCCUGUUAGGCGCGACGUGAAAGCCCCGGGCUCAACCCGGGAGGGUCGUCGCGAACCGGCGGGCUUGAGGCCGGUAGAGGUGGGUGGAACUCCUGGUGGAGUGGUGAAAUGCGUAGAGAUCAGGAAGAACACCCGUGGCGAAGGCGGCCCACUGGGCCGGUGCUGACGCUGAGGCGCGAAGGCGUGGGGAGCGAACGGG
rnacentral:rRNA from 1 species